rnacentral:lncRNA from 1 species
UAUAGUGAAUUUAACCAUCCGACUUUAUUUGAAUUCAAAAAUUAAAAUCAUAUUUAAAUUUAUAAUUUGGUAAAAUAUGUGAAAUUAGAAUAUUAAAAUUAAAGAUUUAAAAAUAUAUUUUGAUCAUUCAAUAUUAAUUUAUUAAAUAUGUUGUUAACAAAAAGAUUUUAUUUAUAAGACUAUCUGUGAAGUGCUAACAAUUAUUAUUAGUGAUGUGAAGGGUAUUUCAGUAACUAUACAUGAACCGACAAAGUAAGGGGUGAGACUAAACCAACAAACAUAUUUGCUUAUAAUAAUAAGAAUAAGAAUAAGAAUAAGAAUAGGUAUAUAGUGUGAGAGAGAAAAAAAAAA